rnacentral:rRNA from 1 species
GAUGAACGCUGGCGGCGUGCCUAAUACAUGCAAGUCGAGCGAACAGACGAGGAGCUUGCUCCUCUGACGUUAGCGGCGGACGGGUGAGUAACACGUGGAUAACCUACCUAUAAGACUGGGAUAACUUCGGGAAACCGGAGCUAAUACCGGAUAAUAUAUUGAACCGCAUGGUUCAAUAGUGAAAGACGGUUUUGCUGUCACUUAUAGAUGGAUCCGCGCCGCAUUAGCUAGUUGGUAAGGUAACGGCUUACCAAGGCAACGAUGCGUAGCCGACCUGAGAGGGUGAUCGGCCACACUGGAACUGAGACACGGUCCAGACUCCUACGGGAGGCAGCAGUAGGGAAUCUUCCGCAAUGGGCGAAAGCCUGACGGAGCAACGCCGCGUGAGUGAUGGAGGUCUUCGGAUCGUAAAACUCUGUUAUUAGGGAAGAACAAAUGUGUAAGUAACUAUGCACGUCUGGACGGUACCUAAUCAGAAAGCCACGGCUAACUACGU